rnacentral:rRNA from 1 species
UGGAGACUGUAUGAAUGGCAUCACGAGGGCUUAACUGUCUCUCCCUCCCAGUCAAUGAAAUUGAUCUCCCCGUGCAGAAGCGGGGAUAAAAACAUAAGACGAGAAGACCCUAUGGAGCUUAAGGCGCCAGAACAGCUCACGUUAAACAACCCGCCACAAAGGGAAUAAACCGAGUGAACCCUGCUCUAGUGUUUUUGGUUGGGGCGACCGCGGGGAAAAAUUUAACCCCCAUGUGGAACGGGAACACUAUUGUUCCUUAAUCCGAGAGCACCCGCUCUAAUAAACAGAACUUCUGACCAACAAGAUCCGGCAACGCCGAUCAACGGACCGAGUUACCCUAGGGAUAACAGCGCAAUCCUCUUAGAGAGCCCUUAUCGACAAGGGGGUUUACGACCUCGAUGUUGGAUCAGGACAUCCUAGUGCCCCCCCCCCCCCUUAAA